UGUAAAUUUAACUGUUAAUCCAAAGGGGUACAGCUCUUUGGAAUAGGAUACAACCUUAAUUAGAGAGUAAGCACAAAUUAACCACCAUAGUUGGCCUAAAAGCAGCCAUCAAUUAAGAAAGCGUUCAAGCUCAACAAACUNCUCCCAGCUUAAUGUAAAAAAUGAAAUCAAACUCCUAAUACCAAACUGGACUAAUCUAUAUAGAUAUAGAAGCAAUACUGUUAAUAUGAGUAACAAGAUUUAAAUCUCCCAGCACAAGUAUAUGUCAGAACAAAUACUUAACUGAUAGUUAGCGGCCAAAUAAAUAAAACCCAUUAUAAAACAUUUAUCCUCUCACCGUUAACCCAACACAGGUGUGCACCAAAGGAAAGAUUAAAAGAAGUAAAAGGAACUCGGCAAACACAAACCCCGCCUGUUUACCAAAAACAUCACCUCUAGCAUAACCAGUAUUAGAGGCACUGCCUGCCCAGUGACAACUGUUUAACGGCCGCGGUAUCCUGACCGUGCAAAGGUAGCAUAAUCAUUUGUUCCCUAAAUAGGGACUUGUAUGAAUGGCCACACGAGGGUUUAACUGUCUCUUACUUCCAAUCAGUGAAAUUGACCUUUCCGUGAAGAGGCGGAAAUGCAUCAAUUAGACGAGAAGACCCUAUGGAGCUUUAAUUAAUCUACUCCAAUAGAAUAACCAGAUACCCACACAGGAAUAACAUUUAAUUCUAACUGGAUAGAAAAUUUCGGUUGGGGUGACCUCGGAGCAUAAACCAACCUCCGAGAAUUAUUACCAAGACUAACAAGUCAAAGUAUAACUAAUAUUAAUUGAUCCAGUCUGACUGAUCAACGGAACAAGUUACCCUAGGGAUAACAGCGCAAUCCUAUUCUAGAGUCCCUAUCGACAAUAGGGUUUACGACCUCGAUGUUGGAUCAGGACAUCCUAAUGGUGUAGCAGCUAUUAAUGGUUCGUUU
rnacentral:rRNA from 1 species